rnacentral:lncRNA from 10 species
AGGAGUCUCACUCUGUUGCCCAGGCUGGAGUGCAGUGUCGCGAUCUCGGCUCACCCACUGCAACCUCCACCUCCUGGGUUCAAGCGAUUCUCCUGCCUCAGUCUCACGACUACUUGGGAGACUGAGGCAGGAAACUCACCUGAAUCCAGGAGGUGGAGGUUGCACUGAGCCGAGAUCGCGCCAAUGCACUCCAGCCUGGGCAACAGAGUGAGACUGUGUCAAAAAAAAUAAUAAAAAUAAAAUGAAAUUAAUAAUAAUUUAUAGGCCAGGUGCGGUUGCUCACUCCUGUAAUCCCAGCACUUUGGGAGGCCGAGGCAGGAGGAUCAUUUGAGCACAGGAGUUUGAGACCAGCCUGGCAACAUGGUGAAACUCCCUCUCUACUAAAAAUACAAAAGUUAGCUGGGCAUGGUGGUGCACGCCUGUGAUCCCAGCUUCUCAGAAGGCUGAGGCAGGAGAAUCGUUUGUACCUGGGAGGCAGAGAUUGCCGUGAGCUGAGAUUCCACCACUGCACUGCAGCCUGGGCAACAGAGCAAGACUCUAUGUCUCAAAACAAAAGAAAAA